UACGUAGGGGGCUAGCGUUGUCCGGAUUAUUGGGCGUAAAGAGCGUGUAGGCGGCCAGGUAGGUCUGCUGUGAAAACUCGAGGCUUAACCUCGAGAUGUCGGCGGAAACCAUCUGGCUAGAGUCCGGAAGAGGAGAGUGGAAUUCCUGGUGUAGCGGUGAAAUGCGCAGAUAUCAGGAAGAACACCCGUGGCGAAGGCGGCUCUCUGGGACGGUACUGACGCUGAGACGCGAAAGCGUGGGGAGCGAACAGG
rnacentral:rRNA from 1 species